rnacentral:lncRNA from 1 species
GGGAUUUUAGAAACACUUAAAAUAAGGCUGUGUUUCGUGUAGGCUUACCCUGGCGUGACGUUUUGAUAACCGUGUAAAUCUCUCUAGGUCUAGGGCAAGGUGACUUUUAUCAAUGUAUUCACCUGUAUUUAUCCCCCAAAAAGGAAAUCCUAAUUAGCUGCAAAUAUGGCUAUCAGAAAGAACUACAAAUGCAAUGAUGAUCUGGACGAGACUGCAAAAUCGAGGCAAAGGUUUUAUGGGUAUUAUGACACCUCCACUGUGAGGCUCUAAUAUGGAGAAACUGUAAGCUCACAUAGGAAAGCAUGCUCACGCAAGAGAAGGAACACCCACUUACCGGAAUAUAUAUAUAUUUAAACAGCUUAGCUCUUUGAUGACAGAAUGGACAACCCCAGGGCCUGGGACUCAUCAGCUCGGGGGCUGAUGAGUCCACUCUAGGAUGGUGGAGAGGAUAAGUCUCUGUGGCCAGGACCAUAGAAUACUUUUUCCAUAGGGUACAGCACCUCUGCUCUGGGGUCGCGAAACCACACUCUGGGCUGUUCUACGUCUGCUGGGGACAGGCUGAACUACAACAGGAUUAUAGUAACCUCGAAUGGCUGCUUUCUCCGAGUACUCAAACUGACCAGGGGCUACCAUUACAUUUGAUCGAGGCGCAGAAUUCUCGACCUGCUCAAAGUUGGGCUUGUGGCUGCUAACAAGUUCUCCCUUGGGAGUGUAGACAGAAUGCCUGACAGAGGAGUCAGCCAAACUGGGAUCAGAACCGUGAUAGUUUAAUGUAGACGGUUUGGGUUGAAAGCCUCUGGCAAAGACUUGUCCAUAGGCCCAGUCAGUUGGAUGGCCUAUGGCGUGUUGGUCGAAGAUUGUAAGGGACAAACUGGGUCCUAAGGAGGUCCAAACCCAGGGCAGCUGCUCAGGCUAGUGAAAAGACAGCAUCAAAACAGAAAUGCUAGUGUAAGUAUCUUACGCCAAAAUAUGACAUUAAGCAACUACAUUGAGGACAUGCACAGAGUACCUCUUGCCAUGUUGUCACACCAGGAACCUCCAGCAAAGACAGUGCCAAUCAAAAGGACACUGCAAGAGAUAAAGACAUUCAAUACAAAUGCAUGAUCUAGGAAGAAACAUUUUUAAAGAGCCACAAAUUUUACCUUAGAUAUAUGGGCAGAGGUCGAUGCAUUGUUUCAGUGGUAUCGACCCAAACAACCUGAUGACCAAAUGAUUCAAGCACCUUACAACCUCUUGACAUGCAGCCACUACCCUGCCCUUCUUGAUGAACUAAUUAUGAACAGCUGGUUGUCAUGGAGACCGAACCCAAACAUUUCAUGUACUCAACCAUUAGGCAAAUUGCUUCAUUACACCAGCUGAUUAGAUAGAAAUGUCUGCUCAGCAGCAGUAUUGUGGUGGUUUAACCCAUCGAUAUUAAACAGUGUUCUAUAUAUAUGUGGUUUAACCGUCCAUUUUUGUUGCAUGCAAGUUUUUUUUAUUUUUUAUUAUUA